GGGUUGGAUGUAACAAGGGAGUGAAGUUUGGGUAAGAGGCCACAACAACUAUGCUUUUUUAUUUCAUAUGGGAAAUUCUAUUUAUACCAUCCUGUUCCUAUGUACACCCUCUUCCUUCUCUUUAUAACUUUUUAUUGUAAAUUAUCCCUUUUAUUUGUUAAAACAUAAUUCCAAAAAUUGUUUUCAGAACAACAUAUAUUAAUUCUGGAAAUUAAUUUCCAACACUAUAUUUUA
rnacentral:lncRNA from 1 species